rnacentral:rRNA from 1 species
UACGGAGGGGGCUAGCGUUGUUCGGAAUUACUGGGCGUAAAGCGCACGUAAGCGGACCGGAAAGUUGGGGGUGAAAUCCCGGGGCUUAACCUCGGAACUGCCAUCAAAACUAAUGGUCUGGAGUUCGAGAGAGGUGAGCGGAAUUCUGGGUGUAGAGGUGAAAUUCGUAGAUAUUCGGAGGAACACCAGUGGCGAAGGCGGCUUACUGGCUCGAUACUGACGCUGAGGUGCGAAAGCGUGGGGAGCAAACAGG